ACAUUGUUAGCUCAGUUGGAUAGAGCGUUGCCCUCCGGAGGCAAAAGCCACUGGUUCGACCCAAGUACAGUGUACCA
rnacentral:tRNA from 1 species